rnacentral:rRNA from 1 species
GGGUUGUGAGGUUAAGCGACUAAGCGUACACGGUGGAUGCCCUGGCAGUCAGAGGCGAUGAAGGGCGUGCUAAUCUGCGAUAAGCGCCGGUAAGGUGAUAUGAACCGUUAUAACCGGCGAUACCCGAAUGGGGAAACCCAGUGUGACUCGUCACACUAUCAUUAACUGAAUCCAUAGGUUAAUGAGGCGAACCGGGGGAACUGAAACAUCUAAGUACCCCGAGGAAAAGAAAUCAACCGAGAUUCCCCCAGUAGCGGCGAGCGAACGGGGAGGAGCCCAGAGCCUGAAUCAGCAUGUGUGUUAGUGGAAGCGUCUGGAAAGGCGCGCGAUACAGGGUGACAGCCCCGUACACAAAAGCGCAUGUGCUGUGAGCUCGAUGAGUAGGGCGGGACACGUGGUAUCCUGUCUGAAUAUGGGGGGACCAUCCUCCAAGGCUAAAUACUCCUGACUGACCGAUAGUGAACCAGUACCGUGAGGGAAAGGCGAAAAGAACCCCGGCGAGGGGAGUGAAAAAGAACCUGAAACCGUGUACGUACAAGC